GUGACUGUUCCUGAGCCUGAGCAGUGCGCGAUCUGAAGAGCUGGUGCAAACAUCCUCAUCACUCACACCAUCACAUUUUACUCCAAAUGGGUUCCUUCUCAUGGUGUUCUAUGCCGUGCAUGCUGAGGAAAGCUUUCCUGGAUGUCAAUAGCAGAUGAGAACAUCAGAGGUAAAGUCUGGAGGAGAAAUGAUCACGCACACUGCAGAGCUUCAUGAAGGUGAAACACAAUCCAUCUUGCUUCUACAAAAAGAAAAGGUGUUUGUGUACAGCUAUAAAAAACCUUUGGAAAAGAAGACAGGUUUGGAGAUGGAGAUGAGCAUCACAUAG
rnacentral:lncRNA from 1 species